AAGGAUGUCAGAAAUAAGAUUAUGUGUAGAUACAUGAAGUAGAGAAAAAUAGUAUUUUAUUUGAUAAAAAGAUGUUAUUGAAACUAAAAGAUGGAUUUUAUAAAAUAGUUUUAAGGCCAAUCAUAUUGGGCAGUCGAUACUACAACAAAAUAAAAAUUGGAUGUAGCCAGUCUCGGAUUUAGAACAGGUGCCGCCCUAGGCCCUUUUAAAUAUGCCGCCCCUAACCCAAAAAAAAAAAAAUGUAGUAAAUAUUUAUAUGAUUUUUUUCCAUUUUUUACAAAAUUUGGCACUUUAAGUCCGGACCUCAUGGGCCUAGGCGUAAAUACAAGUCUGGAUGCAGUAGAAAUGAAAAUACUAAGGUAUAUGUGUAGAUUCAUUAAGGUGGGUAUAAUUAGAGGUAGUAUAGGAAUGGUACUAACUGUAGACAAAAUGAGGAAAGAAAGGUUAAAAUGGUUUGGUUUUUGUGUAGAGAAAUAAUUUGGAGGCAGUGAGUUGCUAUGGAAAAUAAAUGUAGAAAUAUGAGAAAACAGAAGAUUGAAGAAAUACACUAUAGAAAAUUACAUGAAAAUAGCUGGAUUGAAUAAAAGUGAGGUGAGGAACAGAGCCCUAUGGAAGUAUAAGGCAAGAGUGAAAGAACCUACAAUCUACGUACAAAUACAGGAUGACUAUAUUUGUUUCAUCACAAGAGAUGACACGCAAAUCAAAAACGUAUGAUGAAACCUUUACAUCACAAAGUAUAAAAGUAUCAAUAAUAAGAAUAUAUUACCGGAAUUCAGUAUUCUACAAAUUAGACGGGAAGAUACCCAUUAGCACAACUUAACUGACAAGUGGCAAC